rnacentral:rRNA from 1 species
UUAAACGGCCGCGGUACCCUAACCGUGCGAAGGUAGCGUAAUCACUUGUCUACCAAAUAUAGACCAGUAUGAAUGGCACCACGAGGGUUACACUGUCUCCCAACUUCAAUCAGUUAAACUGAUCUCCCCGUGAAGAAGCGGGGAUCCCAUUAUAAGACGAGAAGACCCCAUGGAGCUUUAAACUAAGAACCAACUGCUAACCUAAAUACCAAUAAAAUACAGCAGCUAUGAUCUCAAAGUUUUCGGUUGGGGCGACCACGGAGUACAACAAAACCUCCGCGAUGAAAGAACAUUAAAUUCUUACCCAAGAGCUACACCCCGAAGGAUCAUAAUUAUGACAUCUCUUGACCCAAACCCUUGAUCAACGAACCUAGUUACCCUGGGGAUAACAGCGCAAUCCAUUUUAAGAGCUCCUAUCGACAAAUGGGUUUACGACCUCGA